rnacentral:lncRNA from 1 species
UUUUUUUGUACCUUUUUCCUAAGAAAAAGGCUUAUUUUUAGUUUCGCCUCGCCUCAGCCGAUCAGAAAGUGGAUGCCAUGAAUAUUCCCGAGCCCCAGUAUCCAGUGCGCGACGCCAAAGCCUACCAGAUUCAUCAACACAUUCGCGAAAAAGAGGGAAAAGAAAAAAAGUAAACUUAUUCAUCAAGUCCAGCACAUCAACGUACUCUCAUGAUCUUAUCUGGUGAUGGAUCAUUCAUCGACCAUUUGUCGUGUUCUCUUCUUCUGCACUGGCUGCACACCACCAUUAUCAUCAUCCUCUACUGACGAGAUAAUCAUAAGCGCAUGCGCUGGAUUCAUCAAAUCAGGCGCUACGAACGGAUUGCAGGAAAGCAUUUAGCCCCCUUUCCACCCAGACAUGCGUCACCGAUGAAUGAUCCUCCAUCGAACUGUCUGGUGUUCUGUAGCCCCCCUUCCCCAAGCCAGCUGUGAAGCAACACGGCAGCACUCCAGUAGGAGUACUCCACUGGAUCUUUGUAAUCAGUUCAAUCAGCACAUACACACUGCUCGAUAUUUCCAAUCAGUUCAAUCAGCACACACUACUUUGAUUUUUUUGACAUAUUCUUUUGCAGAAAACCACACCUGACCUACACUAGUACUGGAUAUUUUGCCUGGAAGCAGGGCAACUCUGCAGUGCACCGUCGUCAGACGGUGACCAUCGCUGAUUUUACAAGUACGUCACGGAUAAGCACGGGCUCAAGAUUUUUUAUUUCAUUUUCUAUAUGUUGGACGUCGUCAGUUGAAGGUCGACGAGGAUUUUGCUUCUCCUUCGUUCUCACCUCUCGAUCGUCUCCGGCGUAGUUGCAAAAGCCGAAGGCGACACCUUCGCGCCCCGCCCACUUGCCCCAACGGGCUAACUUUUGCCCCUCGAAUUAUGGGAGAUUGAUUGAUUAGCUCAUGUUGCCGCUCCACCUGGGGAGCCUCGUGUCUUUUUUGGGGGUUUUCGAGGGCCGCUUCUUUCUGCCUUGCCAUUGCUGCUCGACUUGUGUUUCCGUUAAGCUAGUACUCCGAUCGUGACGCCCAUACAUUGAUCAUCAAAGCACUAGUAGGAGUAGUAAGAAUUCACUCCCUGGAAUCCUUCUUAGGCCAUGUACGGUUAAUUCCUCAUCACAGGAUUGAAAGGAAUUGGAGAGGUUCGAGGAGGAUUUUGAUUUGCAAGGGAUUUAAUCCUAUUCAACCCCCGUCAAAUCUUUUCAAACCCCUUACCUAUUCCUGAUUGUCGCGGAUCUCCCUCAAGAGAUGAUCAAGGCAUGACAUCGUUCUGUGCCUGGAUAAUGCACCGACAGUGGUGCUUCAAUACGUUGACGACACGUUGAUCGUCAUGAAGGCGUGUGUCGUUGGGGCUGCCCGGCUUCGCACGAUCCUGGACCGCGAGCUUGACGACCUUCAUUGGCUGGGUCGCGCGCCUUCUAUCGUCGGCUGGGCGCCUCGGCCUCAUCAACGUUGUUCUCAACGCUCUCCCCACAUAUGCCAUGGCGCGCUGCUGCUCCCCCAGCCGUCCUGCACGAGCUUGACGGCCUUCGCCGCUCCUUUCUCUGGAACGUGGCAGAACCCGCCUGUGGGGCACAAUGCCUAGUUGCAUGGGAGAGGGUGUGACGGUCUAAGGUUGGGGGCUGGUUUGGGGUCCGAGACCUCGCCAGGCAGAACAAAUUGCCUACUUCUGAAGAUGGUCCACCGCCUCCAUGCGAUGCCUCAGUCUCGGUCGGCCGCCUGGGUUGCCCCUCGCUUCUUGCCCGAGGCGCCCGGGCGGCUGGGGAGCACCUACGGUCCGGUGCCUCUCUAUGGGGAGCUCCCCUCGGUGGUGGUCGGUGACGGGCAGACCUACUCCUUCUGGCCGGACUCCUCGCUUUCGUCCAGGUCUCUCGUUGCGGCCUUCCACGCCUUGUUCUCACAUGCCGCCAACCUGAAGGCUACGGUGUGGCAGGUCCGAUCGCGUGGGAUCGCGGCCUCGGUUGUUCUUCGGCUCACUCGGGUGGGUGAGUGUGAGCUCGCGAUGGUCUCCACCCUCUGUGACGGUCUUCUGGGCCACUCUGGGUGAGUGUGAGCUCGCGAUGGUCUCCACCCUGUGUGACAGUCUUCUGGGCCGAAGUGGCCUUGACGAACGGCUUCUUCGUCAUGUCUCCGGUCCUCGGGGGACUCUGUCUUCAAGCAUGACAUACAUGUUGAUGUGGUUUGGCAGCGAGGAGGCGGGCUAUGCGGACAUGAUCUGGGGCUCUUGGUGCAGCGACGCGUACCCAAGACGUCAUGGCCUGGAAGUGCAUUUUGGUGGCGGCGGACGCCGGUUCUUCGCUCUCUCGGACGGUGGUAGAAACCACGGAUCACUUGAUGUUUUGCUACCCCUUUGCGAAAGACUUUUGGAAGAGUGACGGCAUGGGCGUGGCAGGUAUCUUCGUCGGAGACCUUGGGCAACGCGAUCCGUGUUGUCGAGCCUGGGCUGGAGUUAAUGCUGAUGUGGCGCGGACGGUUGCCGGCUGUUCAUCGCCACCACUUAGAGGCAUGGAUUGGUGCUCUCUUCCCUUAGUUGUUCCUCCUCCCUUUUCAUGAAUGUGUGUAUUGUAACUAUGUGGGAUUUUAGGAUUCAGCCCACCUAGAUCAAUCUAUUCAUAUGGAGGAAGCUCUCCCCCAUGAAAAAUCAAAAAAGAGAAAUCUCUUCAAACCCUGCCUAACCAAACAAGGCCUCACAGAUGUUUGUACGGGUUCACAACUUCCAUUAUGCUCGAAUUCGAUCACAAGGGUGUAAUUUUUACCACACGCACACGGACAGUGACGCAAAUAUAACCCUACGACUCAGAAGGAACCACGCCGACCCCGAUACUAGCACGGUUCCGCUUUGAUCCACUUGGGCGAGUCGCAUGCACCGAGCACUAACAGAGAGAGCAGGAAAUAUCUAUCAUUCCAGGCCAAAUUGCAGCACCCAGCAGUUGCUCCAAGCUUAUCUUCCAUCCUCGACCCAUCCAGAUAUCCAAAUGGAGCCGUCGCUGAGGUCGCUUUGCCUGAUUGCACUGCUCGCUCGCCAUCGCACUCCAUUGCCAUCGCCACCUUGCACCGCGCAACAGUGAAAGGCGGGCUCCCGUUGCUGUCGCAUCCAUGCACUUGCACAUUGUCUUUUACGAUCGAGCGCCGUUAGGCUGGCGAGCGGGGUCGCCUAGCUGACCAGCUGCUGCACGCGCGGCGCCAUGGCCACCUGCUCGGCCGGCGCGGCGGGGUACCACGCCNGCUGCCUGAUGCUGUCCAGCACCAGCGCCUCCGAUGCCGGGUUCAGCAGCAUCCUCUGCUCUGUUGCGUUCCGGGGUGGUCUGGUCUGUGGGUGAGCUGAUCACUGUGUGUGAACGAGGCGAUUGCGUGGAGUCGAAUGGUGUGAUCGGGCCGGGGUCGCGGGUUAUAUAUAAGUGGAGACGUGCUCGCCCCCUCCCGGUCCUGGUUCGUUGAACUUUCCCGCCCCGGAUUCACGUGACGGAAUGGGUCUGUUUCCACCAGCAAAAUAAUAACAAUACUUACAGUGAUCUAGAACAAGAGGCAGCGAGGGUCCAGAUAGUUUUUAGCCAAAAAAUAAUAAUUUAGUUUAGUGGGAGGAGUAUUUUACGGAGCGGCUGCCGCUGCCCUCGCCUUUUGCUCAUCAUGUUUUGUUUUGUUUUCGUUUUUUGUUGGGUAGCCCCGUGCAGGUGGGGGUGACGUCAGUGCUGACGUCGUCGGCCCUCCAGGCCGCCACCGUUGGAGUUAGAGCGUUGGCGCGAUCGAUCGUGAGGCGGGGACAUGCAUGCGCGGGCGCGAUUGAUAUUCAUAUUCCCAUGCUUUAUUCUAGAAUUGCAGUGGCGGUGCAACCGCUGCGUUGCUCUGGCCUCUGCCCAUAUUCUCGGAUUCAUUAUUCAUACUACGAUGGACUUGUUCUUUUAUAUAUGCUCCUCUAUCAUUGUUCGGUCGAAAUCUCUGCGGAAUCGCUUCUCUUGUCAACUGCAUUUCACGUCGGGAAAUCCCCCCGCUUUUGCUUUAUUCCCUCUCGUGCAGUAGGAUAGGAGUAUCUGCAAUUCACUUCUCUUGUCACCUUGCUAUCUGACGGCUGCUUGCACCCCAGCGCGCACCUUUGUUCACUCCCACACCACACUGAUCAACUUCAGGACUUGGAAUAGCACCUGCUUGCUCGGCACGGGCUAGGCUACGUGAUUGUUCAUUGUCCUCGUUUCCGAAUUGAUCUGCCUUUGCCGGAAGGAAAAAAGGUCGACCGUCUGAACCCUGACAAAACGAUGGAUCCGUAUUGAAUGCGAGUGGACCUCAGGCUUGCCAUCGGAGGAAGAAAUUGCGUAGAAGUCAUGCGGUGCAAUGCUUCUGGACAAUGCUCCUUUCGCUCGCGCACAUGACGAUAAAGACGGUUUUGUAGGGCCCGAUCCCGUUAAAAAAAAUCGUCGUGAAGUUUUGUAUUACUUUCUUUUUGCGGGUGUGAAUUUUAUACUUGCAAGAGGACGAGGGGUACUACUUUUUCUUCAGUGCCAAGAGUAGGGUUUGCCACCACAACCAAAUUUAACCAUGUCUCUUCGGGUUCAGUGUUUUUCACGCAGACUGAACUUUAGAAGUCGCCGGUUUAACUUUGACACGCCGAGAAAAAUCUCUGUUUAUCAUCACGGGUAUGUGAGGGGAUAAAAUAAGGUGCCGUUAGAGCACGUGAUUUUCUUGGGAUCUUGACUACGGCGGAUGAACGAGCUUGCUGCCCGUAGAAGUCAUCAAAGUGAAAUGGAGAAACGGCUUGGUGGCGUUCGACCGUGACAAGCCUGUCUCUGUCGUUUAGGAUGCCUUCCAGCCUAGAUAAGAUCAGCAAUUGUGUUUUCAAACUUGCAUUUCUACAGCUCGAGCGGUCAUGCCAUUGACGGGAUGUUAGGUGCGCUGAUAAUGAUCCCGCACCUUAUCGUGCUUAUCGAAGGGUCGAUCGUACUCUGUUUUUUUUUUUUCUAGUGGGACGUUGAUCCUAGCAGACUGAACGAUGCUUCAGGUACGAUAAAAUCAGACUGGUCAAAAUUCUAAGAGCAUCUCUAACAACCAUGUUAUAUAAACGUCGUGUUGAAAAAAGGCAUCUUUUUUUUUACGUGCGCAACCGCUUCAGAUGUUACAAUGAAGGCAUACAAAAUGCGUGCGCGGCAUAAUUGAUUCAGUGUGCGGGACGGAACGACUCGUACGUCGUUUAUUUCGAGCGCCCGCUCCCGCGUGCUGGACAACGACGACUCACACACGGCUUGAAAAUAAACUGACGAUGCAUGAUCGAUUUUUUCAGCAAAGGAGGAAUGUCGCUGGAGAACUCGGACAUAACACCUUUCAAAAGGUGACAACCGCUUUGCGUAUGUUGGCAUACGGUAUUCUGGGUGAUCUAGUUGAUGACCAUCUCGCCAUGGAUGAGAGUCAGGCCAUCAUGUGUUUCAAGCGCUUCACAGUCGGAAUUGAACAAGUGUUUGGCCGAGAGUAUUUGAGAUUCAAAUGCUGGAUACAUCGCAAGGUUAUUGGAGAUGAACAAAGCUCGCGGGUUCCCAGGUAUGCUUGGCUCAACAGAUUGCAUGCACCGGAGUUGGAAGAAUUGUCCUAAGGCAUGGCAUGGGCAAUUCCACGACGAGAAAAAGAGUUUUACUACAAUCCUUAAAGCGGUGGCCCGUCAACAAACUUGGAUUUGGCAUGCUUUUUUGGGAUAGUCUCGAUCUUUGAAUGACAUCAACGUGGUUAACCGCUCAACACUUAUAAAUAAGAUUGCAAAUGGUGAACCGUCAUCGGUGGAGUUUGUAGCAAAUGGCAAUACAUACAAUUAUGACUACUGUCUUGAGGAUGGUAUCUACCCAAAAUGACAAACAUUUGUGAAGCCGUUGAAAACCAGAAGGUAAGAAAAAUCUAGAUCUUCACAAUGCUCAAACGGCGGCUCAAAAAGAUGUGGAGGGAGCUUUUGGGAUUUUACAAGCCCAACUUGCUAUUAUGAAAGGACCGGCUGGAUUUUGCGAUCAAAAGAUUCUUUAGUACAUCAUGCACGUUUGUAUGAUGAUGCAUAACAUGAUCAUCGAGAAUGGGCGUGACAAAAAUCUAAACUAUCCUCACAAUGAGCUUUUGGAACAUUUCAUACGAGUGCGUCGGAGUGCGGUUGUUAAAGAUGCUCUAAUGUACGACGAAUAGUACAGUUCGUUAAUUUCUUCACACACGAGAAGGCGAAGGGUCGUACACAUAGCAUUUUCGUAGCCGAAACUAGUGUGUGUACGGUGACGAAUGGUCUAGAAUCCAAUGCUCUGAUGCACUUGGUUGCAUGCACAAAACGGUUUGAUUAUAUGUGUCGUACGAAGAUUGGAUGAAAAGUGUGGUGAUAGCAUUACUCUUCAAUACCAACAAGUUAAAUUACUCUCCCUCUGUUCACUAUUAAGAUGUUGUUCUAUUUUUUAAUUGUUUUAUAAUCGAAUGUAGUAUUUAAACAUGUUUUGAUGUGUUUUCUUUAACUAUUUUAGUCCGUACUCAUUCCAGGACGUAUGUAUAGUUUGUAUUAGAAUAUUUUAAACAUCUUACAUUUAUGAGCAGCCGAAGUAGUUCUUCAAUACUUUGGGAUUUUUUCAAUGCUUCGCGAGCAUAUCAAACUUUGCCUAGGUCCUUAUAAUGGAAGCUUUUGUCUCUUUGAGUGACAUUAUAUACAGGGAACAAGUUGGUGCUAAGAUUUGCUCCGGAUUCUAGAACCUCACGUUUUCAUACCACGCUGCAAAACCUCACAGCUAGGCCACGAUCCAAGCUGUCCCGCAGUUCCGCCGUCUGUUCCCAUUUUCCAACACAACGUCCACAAGCCACACAGGUUACCGGCUUAAAGAUAAAAUAAAAUAACGAAGGGAGUUGGACUGGUCAAAGGUCAAGCCGGACUUUGACCGUGGACCAGGAGAGGAUCACGGGUCCCACAAGGUGGGUCGAUCGGCCGAUCAAUCACGCGGGUCGCGGUCUCGCCACGCACGGAUGCAACGGAGCCGGAAGGAAGAAAAGUCUCGCUGCCCUGCCUUGCCUUGCGUUGCGUGCAGGAUAUGCUUUCAGAGUCCACGUCCCGAGCGGAGCACACCUUCUUGGGUCCUUCCUUCCAUCCUUCUAGAAGCUGUAGGGGUACUUCCAAAGCUCCCAGUAUCGACAGCAAUUGCAAGGAGUUACCAUAGGCUAGCAGCAGCCUAGCACCGGCACUGGAUGGUAUCGUGUUCGGUCGUUCCUGAUGUGGCAUUUUCUGGCCGGCUUGAUGAUUUUCCUAAUAUUGCUUCCUCCGUUUUAUUUUUUUUGUCUUAGCUUUGUCUAGAAAUAGAUGUAUUUAAGUACUAAAACUUGAUUAGAUACAUUCACAUCUAAACAAAUCUAAGACAAUAAUUUUAAGACGGAGUAAAUAUUUUUUUAUAACAUAUUUUAAAGGCGUGUGUGAAUUGGGUGUAUUUAAAUACGUCUGUAUUUAAUUUACAUGUGUAACUUACAGGGCCAGUAGUGAUUCCCGCCUGAAAGCAAAACGACGAAGGGACACCUGUAUUAUUUGCAGGUGUAUUGCUCGUGGAAAUGAUAUUCCAAACAUGACCUAAAUAUGUAUGCCCUAAUUCCAGGAAAGGAAAACUAUAACCCCGUCAACCACACUUAUGUCGUAGAGUGAGUAUUUGUUGUUUGUUAGGCCGAAGAUGAGCUUUCCGGUCACCUUUGGACCCCAAGGCCCGCCGUUUACUUCAAUUCUGCCUAAGCGAAAUUGCCGUCUCAACGAGUCUCAGAUUUCCUCAAUGUUAGGGGUAACUAGAGAAUGGACCUGCUGCAACAAUUCUUUUGCCAAGCAGACAUUGAUUCAAUUAUGAUGAUCCGAACGUCUCCGCGGCAACAUCAGGAUUUCGUAUCAUGGCAAUGGGAUAGAUCAGGCAACCUGACUGUGAAGAGUGUCUACAAUUUUGUAGUGUCCAGCGACCAUGAGGGUAUAGGGGCGUCUAGUUCCUCCCCUCUCAGGGCGCCCCAUAUGGAGGUUGAUUUGGGGCGCGACUGUCCCUCCCAAGAAGCGACACUUUGCUUGGCAAGUUACUUCUGCCUCUCUUCCAGCUAAUGCAGAGAAGUUCAGGAGACACAUAGGAGAUUUCGCGUAGUGCAGUCCGUGUGACCGGGACAUAUAAUCUUCUUUUCAUGCCCUACUCGCGUGUCCUACAACUGCUCUCUUAUGGGACUCGAUGGGUUCGGUCUGGCCUUUGCCGAACAAACUGGAUAUCGCAUGUACACGGGAUGAAUGGCUUCUUCAUCUACUGGCUGAAUCACAUGAACAAGUCAGAAGUAGGAUUAUUAUGGUUCUGUGGCCAAGUUGGCACCUCCGAAACGAGCUCUAACAUGGUAAACCAAUCCCACCGUUGGAAGUUUCUCGAUUGUUUCUGACCAGUUAUUUCAACACUUUCAAUCAAAUUUCGUUGAGUGUUGAGGAUAUUAUCAAAGGGAAAACUCCUCUAACAACUUAUAUGCACAAACAAGAACAGAUUCAUAGAACCAUUUGCGCCUUGCAAGCGAUGGCCUAAUCCACCUAUGGGCGAGUUCGCACUGUGAGUAGACGGUUGUUUCAAUCCUGCAGACCAUUCGGCAGGAGCAGGCAUGAUUCUAAGAGAUGAGAAAGGAGGGGUUAUCUUUGCUUCGUAUCGCAAACUCUUUCAUUGCAAUGAAGCCCUCGAAGUAGAAUUGCAAUAUAUGAUGGAAGGUCUCAAGCUGUCGUUGGAACACACGAAUUCCACAAUCUUGCUCCAGUCUGAUUGUGCGAUGGCUCUCAAGACGAUUUCUGAGGCUUCCAUUGAUAGUUCGGCGUAUGGCCAUUUGGUUUCGGAGAUCAAAUCUUACUUCAGUACUAGGGUGGUUAUUCCUGUCAAAAUUAUUCGUGAACAAAAUAGAGUUGCACAUUGUUUAACGAACUAUGAUAGAUGUGGUGAUAGCAUAGCCUGUUGACUGGGUCAUCCUCCCCCAUGCAUUAGCGAUUUACUCGCUGAAGGUUGUAACUCUGUUAUUAUGGAAUAAAAACCUUAUACUAGAUCGCAAAAAAGGGAUUUUUGGGGUUUAAGUUGGGCCGAAGAGUGGUAUAACUAGGCGACGAGCCGUUGUUGGUGGGUCGUAAGUCGAGGAGAGUAACUUCGAUCAGCCUGCGACCGAAGAGUAGUCUUCGGCCAACGUGAGUCCGAAGAGGUGGGGAUAAGAUCGACUGUCUUCUUCCUCACGACGCGAGUGCUUGCUCGCGUCUCUCUCUGCUCUUCUUGUUUUUCGCUUGAUCUAGUCCAUUUCCACCCAUUCUUGCAUCCUUUCCUCAAAUUCACUAAAGUAUACCCAUUUCGACAACCUAAGCUCCAAUCCAUCCAGCGUGGUAGUCAUUUUGAAGCUGUGGUGAGGAGACAUGCUGGGGAGAAGGUGUUGUUGGGGGAAGGAGGUGUGGCUGGGGCGGCUUCGUGGGGAGUAGUGGUAGUGCAACCUCCAAGAGCCGAGGGGAGGCGAUGGUGGUUGUGGUCAGCGCCAGUGGUGCAUGCACGAGCUUCGCGAAGAGAAGCUCGCAGCCGGCAACUCAAGCGUCAAAGCUAUAACCAUCUUGUCGGGAAAAGAUCCGAUAGCGGAGAUUUUUUUUCAUUGCACUAGUGUAGAAAAGCCUAAUGUUAGCGUUCUAAAAAAGUCCUUGCUGGCGUAGGCAUCCGACGUCAUUAAUAUAGUGCCAUUGUUACCAAAAUAACGAUGAUGCUCGUACCGCCACACCAUCGGUAUUUCACAUACUGAUGAUGUGGCACUUUUUCUCAUUUAUAGAAUUAACUACUAGUAGUAAGGUAAGCAAAACCAAGAAGGAAGCAAGAUGAUUUUUUUGAGAUGGUGUACGCACAUCUACGCUUACAUGAACAUCAACAUGACAAUGAGAAGAACUACAUGGUGUACACACACUGUCGGAGAACAAAGGAAAAAGAUACGCUCACCAUGAAAAUUUUGUAGCACAUGUCGUGCACAUCCGCCAAUAGAGAGGAGCCGCCACGGACACUAGAGCCACGCCGUCGAUGAAGGUGAAGCCAUGCCCGAAACCCAAUUGCAGGGAGGGCUUGGGCACGAGCACUAUAGACCGUGCGCGGUGGAUCUGGUCGGAGGCAGGGACUCAUCGAGUGAUGGGGAACAUCGCAUGGGAAACAAAAAAAUUUCUACGCGCACGAAGACCUAUCAUGGUGAUGUCCAUCUAUGAGAGGGGAUUUCCGAUCUACGUACCCUUGUAGAUCGCAUAGCAGAAGCGUUAGUGAACGCGGUUGAUGUAGUGGAACGUCCUCACGUCCCCCGAUCCGCCCCGCGAACCGUCCCACGAACCGUCCCGCGAUCCGUCCCACGAUCUAGUGCCGAACGGACGACACCUCCGCGUUCAGCACACGUACAGCUCGACGAUGAUCUCGGCCUUCUUGAUCCAGCAAGAGAGACAGAGAGGUAGAUGAGUUCUCCGGCAGCGUGACAGCGCUCCGGAGGUUGGUGGUGAUCUAAUCUCGGCAGGGCUCCGCCCGAGCUCCGCAGAAACGCGAUCUAGAGGUAAAACCGUGGAGGUAUGUGGUCGGGCUGCUUUAGAAAAGUUGUCUCAAAUCAGCCCUAAUUGCUCCAUAUAUAUAGGAGGAGGGAGGGGAGGCUUGCCUUGAGGCUCAAGGAGCCCCAAGGGGUGCGCACCAAGGGGAGGAGGAUUCCUCCUCCAAUCCUAGUCCAACUAGGAUUGGAAAGUGAAGUCCUUCUCUCCUUUCCCACCUCCUUUUUUUUUCUUUCUCUUUGAUUUUCUAUCCAUGGCGCAUAGGGCCUUCUUGGGCUGUCCCACCAGCCCACUAAGGGCUGGUGCGCCACCCUCAAGGCAUAUGGGCUUCCCCGGGGUGGGUUGCCCACCCCCCCCGAUGAACACCCGGAACCCAUUCGUCAUUCCCGGUACAUUCCCGGUAACUCCGAAAACCCUCCGGUAAUCAAAUGAGGUCAUCCUAUAUAUCAAUCUUCGUUUCCGGACCAUUCCGGAAACCCUCGUGACGUCUGUGAUCUCAUCCGGGACUCCGAACAACAUUCGGUAACCAACCAUAUAACUCUAACACGCAUAAAACAACGUCGAACCUUAAGUGUGCAGACCCUGCGGGUUCGAGAACUAUGUAGACAUGAGCCGAGUGAGUCCUCGGUCAAUAUCCAAUAGCGGGACCUGGAUUCCCAUAUUGGAUCCCACAUAUUCUACGAAGAUCUUAUCAUUUGAACCUCAGUGCCAAGGAUUCAUAUAAUCCCGUAUGUCAUUCCCUUUGUCCUUCGGUAUGUUACUUGCCCGAGAUUCGAUCGUCAGUAUCCGCAUACCUAUUUCAAUCUCUUUUACCGGCAAGUCUCUUUACUCGUUCCGUAAUACAAGAUCCCGCAACUUACACUAAGUCACAUUACUUGCAAGGCUUGUGUGUGAUGUUGUAUUACCGAGUGGGCCCCGAGAUACCUCUCCGUCACACGGAGUGACAAAUCUCAGUCUCGAUCCAUACUAACUCAAAGAACACCUUCGGAAAUACCUGUAGAGCAUCUUUAUAGUCAGCCAGUUACGUUGCGACGUUUGAUACACACAAAGCAUUCCUCCGAUGUCAGUGAGUUAUAUGAUCUCAUGGUCAUAGGAACAAAUACUUGACACGCAGCAAACAGUAGCAACAAAAUGACACGAUCAACAUGCUAUGUCUAUUAGUUUGGGUCUAGUCCAUCAUGUGAUUCUCCUAAUGACGUGAUCCAGUUAUCAAGCAACAACACCUUGUAUAUAAUCAGAAGACCCUGACUAUCUUUGAUCAACUGGCUAGCCAACUAGAGGCUUGCUAGGGACAGUGUUUUGUCUAUGUAUCCACACAUGUAUAUAAGUCUUCAUUCAAUACAAUUAUAGCAUGGAUAAUAAACGAUUAUCUUGAUACAGGAAUUAUAAUAAUAACUAUAUUUAUUAUUGCCUCUAGGGCAUAAUUCCAACAGUCUCCCACUUGCACUAGAGUCAAUAAUCUAGCCCUCACAUCAUCAUGUGAAUUACAUUGUAAUAAAUCUAACACCCAUACAGUUCUGGUGUUGAUCAUGCUUUGCCCGUGGAAGAGGUUUAGUCAGCGGGUCUGCUACAUUCAGAUCCGUGUGCACUUUGCAUAUAUUUACGUCCUCCCCUUCGACGUAGUCGCGGAUGAGGUUGAAGCGUCGUUUGAUGUGUCUGGUCUUCUUGUGAAACCGUGGUUCCUU